GAGGGUAUUACUGCUCGCCAAUCCGGGCGUCCAGCCGGUGGGAGGCCUUGCCGGCCGCGGUCUCUCCCCCCGCGGUUUUUCCUACUCAGGGCGGACUGCGUGUUCAGUCCGCCGGGCCACCAGAACGUGCGGAUGUCAGCCCCCAUAUGCUCAGUGGCCCGGGUCGGGCCGUCGAUGCUUGCGCUCCCAGUUUUCCGAUCCUGCCAAAGGUGCUCUUCUUCGAAUGUCAAGGCGGGACGUCAUGUUCACGUAGAACUAAUUAAAGUGCUUAUGGCAAGCUGGUGACGCCUGAUUGCUGCGUGCAUGGAAUACUGGAAUAGGACGUCCGUUCAAUAUUCUAUUGGUUCUCAGACCCAGACGUAAUGAAUACCGAAGACGGAUCGGCGCAUUCUUAUUGCGACAUUCCACGUGAAAUUCAUGAAUCGUCACAAUACUAACAUACGCGAAGAAUUUGCCACGAUGUUCACGUUGAUCGAAAUGACGGUCGGAGGUUCCAAGGCGAGCAGAAACCGCCCUAAUUCUAAUCGUAAACGCUACCUCUGGUGUCUCGCACAGCGUUACGAUUGAAUGACUGGGCGAUCUUCCCUCGUCAACGAAGAUUUGCAUUCCGGUCUAAUUUGGUUGACAAGCUGAACGUAAAGUACUGACAAAGGUGACCCAAAGGAAUGGAAUAUGCGGCUUAAUUUGACUCAACCGGUCG
rnacentral:rRNA from 1 species